ensembl:snRNA U2 U2 spliceosomal RNA
UUUGCUUCUCGGCCUUUUAAGACCAAGUGUAGUAUCUGCUCUUAUCGGUUUAAUAUCUGAUACAUCCUCUAUAUGAGGGCUAUACAUUAAGUUGAUUUUUAGAACAGGGAGACAGAAGAGGGGCUUGCUCCGUCCGCUCCACACAUCGACCUAGUAUUGCAGUAUCUCCGGAGUCGUGCACCUCCU